rnacentral:rRNA from 1 species
GAUGAACGCUAGCUACAGGCUUAACACAUGCAAGUCGAACGGAGCUUAAUUGGAAAGCUUGCUUUUCGUUUAAGCUUAGUGGCGGACGGGUGAGUAACGCGUGAGCAACCUGCCCCGAAGUGGGGAAUAACACCGAGAAAUCGGUGCUAAUACCGCAUAAUGUCGGAGGACCGCAUGAUCCACCGACCAAAGGAUUUAUUCGCUUCGGGAUGGGCUCGCGUCCGAUUAGGCAGUUGGCGGGGUAACGGCCCACCAAACCAACGAUCGGUAGCCGAACUGAGAGGUUGAUCGGCCACAUUGGGACUGAGACACGGCCCAGACUCC